rnacentral:rRNA from 1 species
UACAGAGGUGGCAAGCGUUGUUCGGAAUUACUGGGCGUAAAGGGCGCGUAGGCGGUUCGUUAAGUCCUGUGUGAAAUCCCCCGGCUCAACUGGGGAACUGCACAGGAAACUAGCGGGCUUGAGUUCGGGAGAGGGAAGCGGAAUUCCGGGUGUAGCGGUGAAAUGCGUAGAUAUCCGGAGGAACUCCGGUGGCGAAGGCGGCACGCUGGACCCCACCUGACGCUGAGGCGCGAAAGCCAGGGGAGCGAACGGG